rnacentral:tRNA from 1 species
GAGAGCGUAUCUCAACGGACAGAGAGCCGGUUCGCGAAGCCGGUCGAUGGAGGUUCGAAUCCUCCCGCUUUCA